CCUUGCGGGUCCUGGGAGACGCGAGCUGGCGGGCAUCGGACGGGGUGGCACACUGGACUGGUCUGUGGAAUCUAACCACUGAGCUAUCGGGAAAUGACACCACAUAUUAUGCAUACAGAUUGUGAAAUAUAGUUAAAAUAAAGGCCAAGGACAACCUGGAAAAGGAAGAGUGGCAUCCAAUCAGUGAAACAUGCAAAAGGGGCAUAAGCGAGAGAGGAUAAGUAAAUCCGCUCACCUUCCAUCUCCUCUCUUCUAUGAACUUCUAUGAACUUCACGUUGUAUUUCAGCAACAAAUGGUAAUAGUUACUUCCUUUUUUUCUGCCCUAAGUCAAUAAUUAGCCCCCAACCCCUACCCCGUCUACUUCCCACCCCUGCUGUUAGGGGAAGCACACUGAUUGAAACCGCCCCACCCUGGCCAGGCGCCAUAGUAACUAUUUGCAUGAGUUGUUUUAUG